GCAGUCGAGCGGACAGAAGGGAGCUUGCUCCCGGAUGUUAGCGGCGGACGGGUGAGUAACACGUGGGUAACCUGCCUGUAAGACUGGGAUAACUCCGGGAAACCGGAGCUAAUACCGGAUAGUUCCUUGAACCGCAUGGUUCAAGGAUGAAAGACGGUUUCGGCUGUCACUUACAGAUGGACCCGCGGCGCAUUAGCUAGUUGGUGGGGUAAUGGCUCACCAAGGCGACGAUGCGUAGCCGACCUGAGAGGGUGAUCGGCCACACUGGGACUGAGACACGGCCCAGACUCCUACGGGAGGCAGCAGUAGGGAAUCUUCCGCAAUGGACGAAAGUCUGACGGAGCAACGCCGCGUGAGUGAUGAAGGUUUUNNNAUCGUAAAGCUCUGUUGUUAGGGAAGAACAAGUGCGAGAGUAACUGCUCGCACCUUGACGGUACCUAACCAAAAAGCCACGGCUAA
rnacentral:rRNA from 1 species